rnacentral:rRNA from 1 species
UUGGAGGGCAAGUCUGGUGCCAGCAGCCGCGGUAAUUCCAGCUCCAAUAGCGUAUAUUAAAGUUGUUGCAGUUAAAAAGCUCGUAGUUGAAUUUCGGGGUCAGUAGGUUGGUCGUGCCUAUGGUAUGUACCGGCUUUACUGAUUCCUCCUUCUUGAAGAACUGUAAUGUCAUUAAUUUGGUGUUGCAGGGAAACAGGACUGUUACUUUGAAAAAAUUAGAGUGUUUAAAGCAGGCUAACGCUUGAAUACAUUAGCAUGGAAUAAUGAAAUAGGACGUUCGAUCCUAUUUUGUUGGUUUCUAGGAUUGACGUAAUGAUUAAUAGGGAUAGUUGGGGGCAUUAGUAUUCAAUUGUCAGAGGUGAAAUUCUUGGAUUUAUUGAAGACUAACUACUGCGAAAGCAUUUGCCAAGGAUGUUUUCAUUAAUCAAGAACGAAAGUUAGGGGAUCGAAGACGAUCAGAUACCGUCGUAGUCUUAACCAUAAACUAUGCCGACUAGGGAUCGGAUGAUGUUAAUUUUUUAAUGACUCAUUCGGCGCCUUACGGGAAAC